GUGAAGCGGAUGACCUCGGACGGUCGGCAGACUCAUAAUCUGUUGGUUCCAGGUUCAAGUCCUGGCCGCCCCA
rnacentral:tRNA from 1 species